rnacentral:rRNA from 1 species
UCUAGUAACGGCGAGUGAAGCAGCAAUAGCUCAAAUUUGAAAUCUGGCGUCUUCGACGUCCGAGUUGUAAUUUGUAGAGGAUGCUUCUGAGUAACCACCGACCUAAGUUCCUUGGAACAGGACGUCAUAGAGGGUGAGAAUCCCGUAUGCGGUCGGAAAGGUGCUCUAUACGUAGCUCCUUCGACGAGUCGAGUUGUUUGGGAAUGCAGCUCUAAAUGGGAGGUAAAUUUCUUCUAAAGCUAAAUAUUGGCCAGAGACCGAUAGCGCACAAGUAGAGUGAUCGAAAGAUGAAAAGCACUUUGGAAAGAGAGUUAAAAAGCACGUGAAAUUGUUAAAAGGGAAGGGAUUGCAACCAGACUUGCUCGCGGUGUUCCGCCGGUCUUCUGACCGGUCUACUCGCCGCGUUGCAGGCCAGCAUCGUCUGGUGCCGCUGGAUAAGACUUGAGGAAUGUAGCUCCCUCGGGAGUGUUAUAGCCUCUUGUGAUGCAGCGAGCGCCGGGCGAGGUCCGCGCUUCGGCUAGGAUGCUGGCGUAAUGGUCGUAAUCCGCCCGUCUUGAAACACGGACCAAGGAGUCUAACAUCUAUGCGAGUGUUCGGGUGUCAAACCCCUACGCGUAAUGAAAGUGAACGGAGGUGAGAACCGCAAGGUGCAUCAUCGACCGAUCCUGAUGUCUUCGGAUGGAUUUGAGUAAGAGCAUAGCUGUUGGGACCCGAAAGAUGGUGAACUAUGCCUGAAUAGGGUGAAGCCAGAGGAAACUCUGGUGGAGGCUCGCAGCGGUUCUGACGUGCAAAUCGAUCGUCAAAUUUGGGUAUAGGGGCGAAAGACUAAUCGAACCAUCUAGUAGCUGGUUCC